AUUGAACGCUGGCGGCAUGCUUUACACAUGCAAGUCGAACGGUAACAGGCCGCUAGGUGCUGACGAGUGGCGAACGGGUGAGUAAUGCAUCGGAACGUGCCCAGUCGUGGGGGAUAACUACUCGAAAGAGUAGCUAAUACCGCAUACGAUCUAUGGGUGAAAGCGGGGGACCGUAAGGCCUCGCGCGAUUGGAGCGGCCGAUGUCAGAUUAGGUAGUUGGGGGGGUAAAGGCUCACCAAGCCAACGAUCUGUAGCUGGUCUGAGAGGACAACCAGCCACACUGGGACUGAGACACGGCCCAGACUCCUACGGGAGGCAGCAGUGGGGAAUUUUGGACAAUGGGCGCAAGCCUGAUCCAGCAAUGCCGCGUGCAGGAAGAAGGCCUUCGGGUUGUAAACUGCUUUUGUACGGAACGAAACGGCUCUGGUUAAUACCCGGGGCUAAUGACGGUACCGUAAGAAUAAGCACCGGCUAACUACGUG
rnacentral:rRNA from 1 species